rnacentral:lncRNA from 1 species
CCCUCCCUGGGAAUCCCAUAAGUAAGAAGGGAAGACCUAAAGUCUCCACACCCAGGACACCGCGUCAGACAGACUCUUCCAGUUUUCCUCCCCCAGCUCCUCGGAAGUGUUCUCCUUCCACCGAGCCGUACCGCAGCUUCCCAGCUGCACAGCUCUUCUCCUGAGGAAUACUCCAGAGGCUUCCUAAGAGACUUAACCAGCACACUAAGGCAACCUUCAUCGUUCUUGUAUUCCUCUCCUCACUCCUCCAUAGCUUGAAGCCACCACUCUCCCGAGUGCCCCAAGCCUCUUCCUACCAAAUCUUACAACCCAUGAAGUUAUUUAAGCCUUGGCAUCGGCAUCAACCCCUCUGGGGAGACACUUACUUUGCAUAUGACACUUCUCUGAUUUGUCCCCAUGCACCAUCUCCCCUUGUCUGCUCCUUGCAGCAAAUCUGGGACAGCCUUUUGGAAAUGUUAUUUCCUUCUUUGCUAUGACCAAAGCCUCGUACCAUAGUGGGCUCAGAGGUUUCAUCUGAUGUGCUGUAACUUCUAGUGAUCUCUCCAGCCAAACUCCUGUCUUCCUUUGACUGCUGAGAACUAAUGUAAGGAAUCACAUGAUAAAUGUCAAUAUUCAAAAGAUUUGGAAAACAAGAAAUAACAGAUUUCCAAGUCACAGGUCACAAAACAUUCCCCAGGGCCACCCAAACAAUUCUGACUGAGUUUAAUUGCUCAGCAUUUUUCUACACAGAUCUUCAUAAAAGAAGAAAGCGGGAUACCUAGAAUUCUAGAAUGAAUGGUAGGAUAAUAAGGACCAACCCAUUUCACAGAUAAGGACACCAAAACCCGGGGGUCCUACAGUCUGGUGGGGAGAACCCCUCGUAAACUCUGGUUAGUAAGAAUAAACCCUGCAAUGUGUAUGAAUAGCCAGGUAAGGAACAGUGGGUAUUUUUACACACCAACAUCAAGUUCUGUAAUUCUGUAACUGGGGUCUCCAGCAAUGCAAUUUGAUUUGGGCACAAACCACUCAGAGUUUGUGCAGACCCUACAGGGCUCAGUUUCACA